rnacentral:lncRNA from 1 species
UGAGGACGUGCCCAUCCUGAGCGGGGCUCCAACCUGUGCCAGCGCCCCUGCGAGCAGCAGGAGGCUGUCUCCAGGUGUUGGUGACUGAGCUGCUCUGCCGCCUUGGCUCCAGGCUCCCUCUUCCUUCUCCUCUGCGAGGAGACUGCGUUCAGGGGCAUCAUCCGCAGGUGGAGGACCUCGGCCGCCUCUGUCCACUCCCAGACCCAAGGCCAGCAGCCCCAUUCUGGCCACACGCUGCCUCGAGCAUCCUUGUGGUUCCGCCCCUCAGAGACACUGUUCCGGACCUGCCUGGAGGUGCUGUGAGGAGGAGCCACCCGGACCGCCGUGAGUGGGCGGGCCCCUCUCGAAUCUUUCCAACACAACCCAGGGGAGGAAAAAAUACACUUUCUUUCCACACUAAAGCAAAUCAGAAACUACAUGAUGAAAUUGAAACAAGAGGAGCGAACAGUCAGCGUCAGAAGGAGUUGAGAGGAGGGAGAGGAAGCGGCAAGUCAGCCUUCAUCCGACCGACCGUGAGAAGCCAGGAAGAACAGCCCGGAGUCAGGCCCAGACCACAGGCGUCCCGACUGUGCUCCAUCCACACAUGGUAGCUUCUGAACGACACUUAAACAGGACCAUGGCUCCUAGGAAAAUCCUGGUUGAAACCAUAAUGCUGAGAAAAAGCGUAUGACAUCCUCACAUUUCUUAGCUGAAAGGGCAAGAACAUCACUUUACAUGCUGAUCUUAAUUCAUCCCAUUCUCAUAAAGACUCUGUGGGGACCCAGUGCUCCCUCACCAGGAAAAGUAUCUGAGCCUUGUGGAGAGCGGGGCGCCAAUUCUAACUACUGGACUUUACACGGACCCGGCCAGUGCUCCCUUGUUUGAAAGACCAAGUGUCAGUGUUGAUCCCUGAACACUCAGUCUGGGCAUCAGACUACAAAGUGAUGAGAUCCAGAGACCUAUUGCUGGACACCCCAAAGUUUAGAGACCAGGAGGAUGGGGGGGGACCCCCCAAGGCAGGCUGAGAAGGAGCAGUCAGUGGGAUAACAGAAAGAGCAGGGGAGAGUGACGUCCGAGAAGGAUGAUGGACAUUUUCAAAUGUUGAUGGGAAGGUAGGAGAAGUGAUUAGAGAUCCCCCACUGAGUUCAGGAUCUUGGCGGCUCAGAAGGGCAGCUACAGCUGACCGCUUGACUAUCUGAUUAAAGAGGGGUUUAACGAAGCAUGGGAAGGGGAAAACUGGACGCGGUGAGGACACGGCUAUUAGAGGAGCGUUUGUCAUAAAAGGGAAGGGAAGUUGGGGGGGCACGUGGAUGAGCGUGGGAAUCAGGAGAGGCUGUGUCCCGUGUUUGGUUGAUUCCAGUUUUUAAGCUGAAAGAACCAGCAGCAAGUAGGAAGGGAAACUGACGAGGAAGGAGCAGCGAGGAAGGGAGAGCCCCUGAGUGAGAGGACGGGCCUCCCGAACAGAGAGGCUGGUCUCACACAGAGCAGAGAACGUGCCCCUGGCUACAAGAGGGAGGACAGCUCCCGUGGACACAGGCGCACCUACGUGCAGCAUUGCAGUGGAAGGAGGCUGUGGACAUGCGCUUCUCUCUACAUCCGUUUCCUCAGUGG